CUUGUCCUGACAGCUGAGACCAGGAUGUCUCUUAUCACUCCUGUAUCUUGUCCUGACAGCUGAGACCAGGAUGUCUCUUAUCACUCCUGUAUCUUGUCCAGACAGCUGAGACCAGGAUGUCUCUUAUCACUCCUGUAUCUUGUCCUGACAGCUGAGACCAGGAUGUCUCUUAUCACUCCUGUAUCUUGUCAGACAGGGACAGACAAGAAUAGGAGGGACAGGAGGGACAAAGAGGGACAGACAGGGACAGGAGGGACAGACAGGGAGAGGAGGGACAGACAGGGACAGACAAGAAUAGGAGGGACAGGAGGGACAAAGAGGGACAGACAAGAAUAGGAGGGACAGGAGGGACAGACAAGAAUAGGAGGGACAGGAGGGACAGGAGGGACAGACAGGGAGAGGAGGGACAGACAGGGAGAGGAGGGACAGACAGGGACAGACAAGAAUAGGAGGGACAGGAGGGACAGACAAGAAUAUGAGGGACAGACAGGGAGAGGAGGGACAGACAGGGAGAGGAGGGACAGACAGGGAGAGGAGGGACAGACAAGAAUAUGAGGGACAGACAGGGAGAGGAGGGACAGACAGGGAGUGGAGGGACAGGAGGGACAGACAGGGACAGAGAGGGACAGAUAGGGACGGACAGGGAGAGAGAGGGACAGACAGGAACAGACAGGAAAGACAGGGACAGACAGGGGCAGGAGGGACAAACAGGGACAGACAAGAACAGGAAGGACAGACAGACAAGAACAGGAAGGACACACAGACAGGGAUAGGAGGGACAGACAGUGACAGACAGGGACAGGAGGAGCAGACAGGGACAGGGAGGACAAACAGGGACAGACAAGGACAGGAGGGACAGACAGGGCCAGGAGGGACAGACAGAGACAGGAGGGACAGACAGAGACAGGAGGGACAGACAGAGACAGGAGGGACAGACAGAGACAGGAGGGACAGACAGGGACAGGAGGGACAGACAGGAGGUACAGACAGGAGGGACCAUUGAAAACUCCAACCUUCCAAAACUCCUACCAUCCAAAAUCCUACCAUCCUACCUUCCAAACCUCCUACCAUCCUACCAUCCAAAACUCCUACCAUCCUAUCAUCCUGCCAUCCAAACCUCCUUCCAUCCUACCAUCCAAAACUCCUACCAUCCUACCUUCCAAAACUCCUACCAUCCUACCAUCCAAAACUCCUACCAUCCUAUCAUCCUACCAUCCAAACCUCCUUCCAUCCUACCAUCCAAAACUCCUACCAAUCAAAAUCUACCAUCCUACCAUCCAUGAUGGAAGCAAAAGAAAAUCCAUGCAAGUUAUCCAUGCAUCUGAUUUCUCCUCACAUAUCUCCCACUUUAAGAUCCCUCUCUGAUACCCCAGAGAUAUAACAUGAUGUUAGACAUCACAGAAAUAUCAUGUUUACUAGAAUCAACUGCCCCCCCACGUCUACGCAUUGUUAAGACAGCAGUCCAUUGUUAGGACAACAGUCCAUUGUUAGGACAGCAGUCCAUUGUUAGGACAGCAGUCCAUUGUUAAGGCAGCAGUCCAUUGUUAGGACAGCAGUCCAUUGUUAGGACAGCAGUCCAUUGUUAGGACAGCAGUCCAUUGUUAAGGCAGCAGUCCAUUGUUAGGACAGCAGUCCAUUGUUAGGACAGCAGUCCAUUGUUAAGGCAUCAGUCCAUUGUUAGGACAGCAGUCCAUUGUUAGGACAGCAGUCCAUUGUUAGGACAGCAGUCCGUUGUUAAGGCAGCAGUCCGUUGUUAGGACAGCAGUCCGUUGUUAGGACAGCAGUCCAUUGUUAGGACAGCAGUCCAUUGUUAGGACAACAGUCCAUUGUUAGGACAGCAGACCAUAGUUAGGACAGCAGUCCAUUGUUAGGACAGCAGUCCAUUGAUAGGACAGCAGUCCAUUGUCAGGACAACAGUCCAUUGUCAGGACAGCAGUUCAUUGUUAGGACAACAGUCCAUUGUUAGAGCAGCAGUCCAUUGUUAGGACAGCAGUCCAUUGUUAGGACAGCAAUCCAUUGUCAGGACAACAGUCCAUUGUUAGGACAGCAGUCCAUUGUUAGGACAGCAAUCCAUUGUUAGGACAGCAGUCCAUUGUUAAGGCAGCAGUCCAUUGUUAGGACAGCAGUCCGUUGUUAGGACAGCAGUCCAUUGUUAGGACAGCAGUCCAUUGUUAGGACAGCAGUCCAUUGUUAGGACAGCAGACCAUAGUUAGGACAACAGUCCAUUGUUAGGACAGCAGUCCAUUGUUAGGACAACAGUCCAUUGUUAGGACAGCAGUCCAUUGUUAGGACAGCAGACCAUAGUUAGGACAACAGUCCAUUGUUAGGACAGCAGUCCAUUGUUAGGACAACAGUCCAUAGUUAGGACAACAGUCCAUAGUUAGGACAGCAGUCCAUUGUUAGGACAGCAGACCAUAGUUAGGACAACAGUCCAUUGUUAGGACAGCAGUCCAUUGUUAGGACAACAGUCCAUUGUUAGGACAGCAGACCAUAGUUAGGACAGCAGUCCAUUGUUAGGACAGCAGUCCAUUGUUAGGACAACAGUCCAUUGUUAGGACAGCUGUCCAGCUAAUUGCUAAGUCUCUCCCCUCCUCUUCCCUCCAUUCAUUCUCCCUCCAUCCAGCCCGCUUCCCGUGUCCCCGGUGAAGGGUCCAACCCUCACCCACAAUACCAUUGCUAUCCAUCGGAUUGUCUGCAGUCAGUACCUAUUCAGCCCUGCCGGGUGCCUUUUGUCCAAUCCAUUCUUCCCCAUGCACUCUGGACCUGAGACCCGGCCUCUCUCUCAGUGCUGCUGUCCCUCUUGUCUCUCUCUCUCUGCUCAGUGCUGCUGUCCCUCUUGUCUCUCUUGUCUCUCUGCUCAGUGCUGCUGUCCCUCUUGUCUCUCUCUCUCUGUUCAGUGCUGCUGUCCCUCUUGUCUCUCUCUCUCAGUGCUGCUGUCCCUCUUGUCUCUCUCUCUCUGCUCAGUGCUGCUGUCCCUCUUGUCUCUCUCUCUCUGCUCAGUGCUGCUGUCCCUCUUGUCUCUCUCUCUGCUCAGUGCUGCUGUCCCUCUUGUCUCUCUCUCUCU
rnacentral:lncRNA from 1 species